rnacentral:rRNA from 1 species
UAGAGGAAGUAAAAGUCGUAACAAGGUUUCCGUAGGUGAACCUGCGGAAGGAUCAUUACCUAGAGUUUGUGGGCUUUGCCCGCUACCUCUUACCCAUGUCUUUUGAGUACUUACGUUUCCUCGGUGGGUUCGCCCGCCGACUGGACAAAAUUAAACCCUUUGUAAUUGAAAUCAGCGUCUGAAAAACAUAAUAGUUACAACUUUCAACAACGGAUCUCUUGGUUCUGGCAUCGAUGAAGAACGCAGCGAAAUGCGAUAAGUAGUGUGAAUUGCAGAAUUCAGUGAAUCAUCGAAUCUUUGAACGCACAUUGCGCCCCUUGGUAUUCCAUGGGGCAUGCCUGUUCGAGCGUCAUUUGUACCUUCAAGCUAUGCUUGGUGUUGGGUGUUUGUCUCGCCUUUGCGUGUAGACUCGCCUCAAAACAAUUGGCAGCCGGCGUAUUGAUUUCGGAGCGCAGUACAUCUCGCGCUUUGCACUCAUAACGACGACGUCCAAAAGUACUUUUUACACUCUUGACCUCGGAUCAGGUAGGGAUACCCGCUGAACUUAAGCAUAUCAAUA